UUCCGGUUGAUCCUGCCGGAGGUCACUGUUAUCAGGGUCCGACUAAGCCAUGCGAGGCGUGAGUCAUCUGGACUCGCCGAACUGCUCAGUAACACGCAGCUAACAUACCCUCAAGUGGAGGAUAAUCCCGAGAAAUUGGGGCUAAUACUCCAUAACUGCUAGAGGCUGGAAUGCACUAGCAGUGAAAGCUCCGGCGCUUGAGGAUUGGGCUGCGGCCUAUCAAGUUGUUGUGAGUAUAAAAUACUCACAAGCUUAUAACGGGUAGGGGCCAUGAGAGUGGAAGCCUCGAGAUGCCUUCUGAGACAUGAAGGCAGGUCCUACGGGACGCAGCAGGCGCGAAAACUUUCCAAUGGCUUAUCGGCUGAGAAGGGGACGCUGAGUGGCUAUACAUUGUAUAGCCUUUUGUCUUGCCUAAAUAGCAAGACGAAUAAGUGGUGGGUAAGACGGGUGGCAGCCGCCGCGGUAAUACCCGCGCCACGAAUGGUGAUCGUGAUUAUUGGGUCUAAAGCGUCCGUAGCCGGUUCAACAAGUUCCUGGUGAAAUCUGCUAGUUAACUAGCAGGCUUGUUGGGAAUACUAUUGGACUUGGGAUCGGGAGAGGAGAGAGGUAUUCCAUAGGUAGGGGUUAAAUCCUUUAAUCUAUGGAGGACCACCGGUGGCGAAGGCGUCUCUCUGGAACGAAUCCGACGGUGAGGGACGAAAGCGUGGGGAGCAAAUCUAAUCCUUUGAUAAAAGGAUGAGAGCUCAAAUGGGAUUAGAUAUGGGAUGAGAGGUUGUACAUAUUAUUGAUUUUUUCAUUGAAAAUGUACAGAAAAGUCCAGUUCAUCUCACUAGAAACCCCAGUAGUCCACGCUGUAAACUUUGUCCGUUUGAUGUUGCAAACUCUACGGGAGCUUGCAGUGUCGGAGUGUAGAUGUUAAACGGACCACCUGGGGAGUACGGCCGCAAGGUUGAAACUUAAGGGAAUUGGCGGGAGAGCACACAAGCGGUGGAGACUGCGGUUUAAUUGGAUUCAACGCCGGG
rnacentral:rRNA from 1 species